rnacentral:sRNA from 1 species
CAUUAAAGAAUUAAGGGCGUAUGGAGGAUGCCUUGACACGAAAGAGCGAAGAAGGUCGUGGCGUGACUGCGAUAAGCUUCGGGGAGCCGUCUAGCGGGCUUUGAUCCGGAGAUGACCGAAUGGGGGAACCCCAUCGAGCAAACCUCGAUGACCCGGCGCAAGCUGGGAGCGUACCUGGCGAAGUGAAACAUCUCAGUAGCCAGAGGAAAAGAAAUCAACAAGAUUCCCUUAGUAGCGGCGAGCGAAAAGGGAUAAGCCUAAACUUUUUUAACGCAAGUUAAAAAGGGGUAAUAAGGAUAGAACACUUGAAUUUUUAUCGUUGCGCUUUCGAAGGCAGCGGUAAAAAUUUGAAAGAAGUUACAAAUUCCAAAGUUAGCAGAACGGCCUUGGAACAGCCGGCCAAAGAAGGUGAUAGCCCUGUAAGCGAAAACUUCUGGAACUUCUGUUUUAUUGCGGCGCAAGCCGCCUUGCUUGAGUAGCCCGGGAUAAGAAUGUCCUGGGUGAAUUUGCCCAUACUACUGGGUAAGGCUAAAUAUCUUUCGUGAUCGAUAGUGAACCAGUACCGUGAGGGAAAGGUGAAAAGCACCCCGGUGAGGGGAGUGAAAUAGCAACUGAAACCAUAUGCCUACAAAGAGCGGAAGUCCUUCGGCGGCAGCAAUGCCGUCUGGGAUGACCGUGUGCCUAUUGAAGAAUGACCCAACGAGUUUAUCCAAAUUGCUCUAUAAGUGCCUCUGGCACGUAUGGAAAGGGAAACCGAGUGUUAAAAGCGCGUAUUAGAACUAAAUAAAAUUUUCUUUAAAAAGAAAGUUUUAAUAGUUCUAGAAGCAGUUUGGGUAAGACCCGAAGCCAGGCGAGCUAACCAUGCCCAGGAUGAAGGUUGUCGAAAGACAACUGGAGGUCCGAACUGGUUGGUAGCGCAAUACCAUCGGAUGAGGUGUGGUUCGUAGUGAAAAGCUUAUCGAGCCUGGUAAUAGCUGGUUCUCCCCGAAAUGCCUUUAGGGGCAGCGGCGGAUUGUAGUUGAGGGGGUAGAGCACUGAUUGGUUUGCCGUGCCCGCAAGGGUAGGCUUACCAAAUAAACUCCGAAUACCUCAGCGUAAUUUCCGCCAGUGAGUAAGCGAGGGCAAAGCUUCGUUUACGCGAGGGAAACAGCCCAGAUCAUCAAUUAAGGUCCCAAAAUCUAUGCUAAGUGAAAAGGAAGUAUUCUGCCUUAGACAGGUAGGAUGUUGGCUUAGAAGCAGCCAUCAUUUAAAAAGUGCGUAAUAGCUUACUACUCGAUUUCGCCGCAAGGCGACGAGGCAGGAUGCGCCGAAAAUUUAUAGGGGCUAAGCAUAGUACCGAAAUUAUGGGUUUGAUGAUUUCGAAAAGGAUUUGUGGUGCCGUAGCUCAGUCAGAGCACUGGGUCCCGGGCCCAGAGGUCGACGGUUCAAAUCCGUCCGGCGCCACCAACCUGUCGGAUUAAAAUCAGGCGAGACCUGAUAAUCCGAUCUUUUUCGAAAUCAUCAAGCGGUAGGGGAGCAUUCUGAUUGCUGUGAAGGUGAACUGUGAAGUUUGCUGGAGCGUUCAGAAGGGAGAAUGUUGGGAUGAGUAACCGCAAGUGGCGUGAAAACCGCCACCGCCGAAAGCCUAAGGUUUCCUCCGCGAUGUCAAUCAUCGGAGGGUUAGGCGUCCCUAAGCGUAACCUAGCUUGCGGGCUAGGGAUCGCGAUGGUGAGCCGGUUAAUAUUCCGGCCCCGCUUACAUAUUCGAAGGAGUGACGGGCUAAAUUAGAUCGAGCGCAUUAUUGGAUUUGACGUCUUUGCUCAUAGAGUGGGAACCAGGCAAAUCCGGUUCCAGCCGAAAGGCGCACUCGAGAGUGAAAGAAAUGGCCGUUAGGCCAGAUUCGAUUGACGAGGGCUCCAAGAAAAGCUUCUAAGAUUAAUAUGUAAGCGCACGUACCGAAAACCGAAACAGGUGGGCUGGUGUAAGUGCACCAAGGCGAACGGGUGAUUAUUGGCUAAGGAACUCGGCAAAAAAGCGGCCGUAAGUUCGCGAUAAGGCCUUCCCCAGCUAACGCAAGUUAGAUGGGGACGCAGCUAAAGACCCUCUGGCGACUGUUUAUCAAAAACACAACUCCGUGCUAAGCCGUAAGGCGCUGUAUACGGGGUGACGCUUGUCCGGUGCCGGAACGUUAACGGUGAAGGUGGCGGGUAGCAAUACCCUCUGCCAACGCCCGAAGCGCCGGUGAACGACGGCAGUAACUAUAACUGUCUAAAAGUAGCAAAAUACCUUGUGGGGUAAGUUCCCACGCGCAUGAAUAGCGGAACGACUGGAGGACUGUCUCAGCCAAUAGCCCGGUGAAAAUGCAAUGUCGGUAAAGAUGCCGACUACCCGCACCUAGACGGAAAGACCCCGGAAGCUUUACUGUAGCUUGGUAUUGGUCUAUGGGUUUUAAUGCGUAGCGUAGUGGGUACACUUUGAAGCGUCUCUCUCGGGAGACGUGGAGUGGCCAAUGAAACACCCAUCUUUAAAAUCUAUAGCUCUAACCGGUGACACCCUAAAAGCGUGAAAUGAAAAUUUCAAAUUUUUAGGGUUUCAUCGAGACAGUGCCUGGCGGGCAGUUUUUGUGGGGCACAAUCCUCCUAAAAGGUAAUGGAGGAGUUCAUCAAGGUUGGCUAGCUCCGGAUGGAAAUCGGAGCGAUAGUGUAAAGGCACAAGCCAGCUUAACUGCAAGGCGGAUAUGCCGCGCAGAUGCGAAAGCAGGACCUAGUGAACCGACCGUGGCUCGUAGGAGCGCGGAAGAUCAUCAGAUAAAAGCUACUCCGGGGAUAAACUCUGCGUAACACAUACAUAAUUUUGUGUUACAAUAAGAGUAUGUUGUCCCGUUUGUCCGUAAGGACAAACAUGAUUACGGCUUAUAACGAAGAACCUAUAGAACGGUCUUUCCUGUGCGAAAGCACAUUUCUCUUCUAUAGCAACCUCGUGGGAAGUCGUGAGCGUCUUGAAUCUAAACAAAACACAAUUAGCUGUAAUUUACGGCUCAAUUAUGGGCGAUGCUUAUUUGCAGUCCAACGGCACGAAUGCCAGAUUGCGAUUUGAACAUUCUCUUAAUCAAGAGCAGUACGUUGUUUGGAAAUUUAAUUUCCUAAAGAAUAUAUUUUCAGAUUCGGCUAUUGUAAAAAUUAACAGGAUUCAUCCUAAAACCAAGCAAGAAUAUAAAUACGUUCGAUGCCAAUCUAAAACAUUGCCGGAAUUGAAGAAAAUUAAAGUUAUUUUCUAUCCAGCGGGCAAAAAGAUUGUGCCGUUAAGUAUUAAAAAGUAUUUGAUAGAACCUAUUUCUCUUGCGGUGUGGUUUAUGGAUGACGGAUAUUAUUAUCUUAGAGAUAAAUGCGGAUAUUUAUAUCUUGGAAAUAUAACGAAAGAAGAAGCUGAAGUUUGCAGCGAUACCUUGCAGAAUAAUUUUAAUCUAAAAACUAAGGUUCUAGCAAAGAAAAAAGGGUAUGCGUUAUAUUUUUCAAGAUUAGAGAUGUUAAAACUCAAAAAAGUAGUUUCUGAAUUCAUGAUCCCAAUGUUUAGAUACAAGUUACCUCAUUGACCCCGUAACGACUUGUUCUGGGUACAGUUUUUAAAAACUGGCCAGACUUAUAGCCCCCAUUCAUUAAUGGCUAUAAUACGCCGUCUCCAGUCUUUUUACAGAAAAAGCUGGAUGAAGAUAUAGUCUAAUACAUUAAUGUAUUGAACAGGCUGGUACCGCCCGAGCGUCCUUAGCGACGGCGGUGUUCGGCACCUCGAUGUCGGCUCGGCUUAUCCUGGGACUGAAGAAGGCCCCAAGGGUUUGGCUGUUCGCCAAUUAAAAAGCUACG